GCCAAUAUUAAAUUUAACGUUUAAUUUCGUAUUAAUACAAGAAAUCAGUAUAGAGUAAUUCAUCAUUCACAAUCACUUGGGAAUAAUUUUACAUCUACGAAGCUAAAAGAAAGACUAAUGCGCAAAAUCUAAUCAAGGCGAAGAAAUACAUUAAAGUUUAAAGCCAAAGCAAUAUAAAUGAAUAUCGAUAGGCACAAAGUUAUCAAUUGCCAGCGCUCUUGCUGGGUUCAGCAUCUGCUGCAGAACUGUAAGCAACAUCAGCCGCGGUGGUGUCCAUGUCAUUAAGACCCAACUCCUCGUUUUGCUCCCACGAUCUAACGUACUCUUCAAAUGUCAACUGUUUGUCAUCCUUGAGAUCAUCAGUCGCAGGAGCAACAAAAGAAUUUGCAAGUGCAUCAUCGAUGAUCAAUGUCCACGGUUGUUUCAAGCUCAAAAGCUUGUCUAGUCUUGCUCGGAAAUCCAACCACUUGCUCUUCCUGUCUUCCUCAAGACUGUCACCAAAUGUGAAUCCAUGCACUCUCUCAAGACUUUCGCUAAUCUUUGUGAUUAAACCCUCAACUGUCGUCACCAUUCCACCCAAAGUGCCACUAGUAAGCUCUAAUUCAAGCUCAGGAAUUUCUACUCCAGCACUAUCCGACUUAAUCACAUCACGGCUUAGAUCUUUAAUGUUUUCCACAUGAAGUGUAAUUUUCUUUCCCUUUUCAGAUAUAGGACCACCAGGUUUCAGCUCAGAGUUGCGAUAACCACAAGCAUCACAAGAGGAUGCCAUAACUAUUACUUCUUGAAAGUAUGGUAUAUUGGUAACAAACAUUUUACAAUCACACUUCGCCAUACAUGCUCCACAAGUUGAUGGAAACACCAUCACCUCUUCAGGAGCUGAAUAUCGAAAUAGAGCUUCAGCCAUUUCUGCACUGUUACCCUGAGCAAUAGCCUGACGUCCCGCUCUUGCUCCAACUGAUCCGUGUGGUUCAUUUAGCAGUCGAUCAGGAACAUUAUUUAUCCCCUCAUUGGAUACCUCAUCACUUUGUCCUCCAAGCUGUGAUGGGUCAGCAAUAUACCCUAAAGCUG
rnacentral:misc_RNA from 1 species